rfam:Trichobilharzia regenti genome assembly, scaffold: TRE_scaffold0066201
AUCCCGGUGACGAGUCCCAAACAGGAGGAAAUGCACAUCCUGGGU